rnacentral:rRNA from 1 species
CACGUAGGCGGACAUUUAAGUCAGGGGUGAAAUCCCAGAGCUCAACUCUGGAACUGCCUUUGAUACUGGGUAUCUUGAGUAUGGAAGAGGUAAGUGGAAUUCCGAGUGUAGAGGUGAAACUCGUAGAUAUUCGGAGGAACACCAGUGGCGAAGGCGGCUUACUGGUCCAUUACUGACGCUGAGGUGCGAAAGCGUGGGGAGCAAACA